ensembl:snoRNA
GUAUGAAAUGAUGGUCUACCAUCUUUCGGGACUGACCUCUUUUAUGGAGAGAUUUGUUUCUAAACAUAACUGAUCAUAC